rnacentral:rRNA from 1 species
UACGGGGGGGGCAAGCGUUGUCCGGAUUUAUUGGGUUUAAAGGGUGCGUAGGCGGCCCUGUAAGUCAGUGCUGAAAUAUCCCAGCUUAACUGGGAGGGUGGCAUUGAUACUGCGGGGCUAGAGUACAGAUGAGGUAGGCGGAAUUGACGGUGUAGCGGUGAAAUGCUUAGAUAUCGUCAAGAACACCUAUAGCGAAGGCAGCUUACUAGGCUGUAACUGACGCUGAGGCACGAAAGUGUGGGGAUCAAACAGG